rnacentral:lncRNA from 1 species
UCAUCCUUAGUUGACAGAGUCUCUAAAAAACUGUCUCUGUGUAUCUGUACACACACACACACACACACACACACACACACACACACACACACCAGCUAUUCACUCGGUUCCUCUUCAUCGUUCAUCCAUAUGCAUGUCUUGAAAACCAUGCUGACGUCAGUAAGUCUAAUCUUAGCCCAAGUCCAUGUGUUUGGCUUUAUUCAUCCUCUGUAUAGAUUUCCAUUUCUGGGGUGAGAACUUUUGGAAAUGGUGAGCAGUGCACUUUUUCCUUUGAAUUACGUUGUUCACAUUUGUUUAGACUUUACCAGUGAUCAAAACUUAUUGAUGAAAAAAAAAUCUUUAAAAUGUUUCCAUUUAGGGUUUGGUUUGAUUUUAGAGAAAAACUGUCUCUGUGAGCUAAAUAACACCUGGUUAUAUUAUUCAUUUCAGAAGUGAGAAAACUGUAUGCUCCUUAUCCAAGAGCAGAUAGCAAGCAUUGUGGCUAAACAGACACAAACAUAGACGAUCUGGCUUUGAAUAAUGUAAAAAAUAAAGCCAUGGGUCCACCCUGUGCAGCUCACAGUGACUGAUUCCCUCUGAGCACAUUCAACAAGAGAGCAUGAAAAGUUCAGGGAGUUAGUCAUGUUAGUAAGUAAAGACUUGGGGCUGGAGAAUACUUCUGUAACCUAUUCACUGUGCUGUGCUAACAUGAGGACCCACGUCCAUUCCCUAGAAACCACCAAAAAAGCUGCACAUAGCGAUGGACACAUAAAAUUACAGUACUCAGGAGUGGAGACAGGAGGAUUCUUGGAGCUCACUGUGUUUCUCUGGGAGUUCUAAUUUGUUUUAUAUUUCUCCCAUACUCAUACCUUAAGAUUUAACUAGAUCCUAAGGCAUAUUCAAAACU